GUACUAUGCCUGACAAGCAGCACAGAUACUAAAAUUGGAACGAUACAGAGAAGAUUAGCAUGGCCCCUGCACAAGGAGGACACGCAAAUUCGUGAAGCGUUCCAUAAUUUA
rfam:Chelonia mydas contig199931, whole genome shotgun sequence.